CCAAUAGCGUAUAUUAAAGUUGUUGCAGUUAAAAAGCUCGUAGUUGAACUUCGGGGUUUACCCAUUGGUCAGGCUUAAUUGUCUGCACUGGUGAGAUGAAUCUCUACCUUCUGAGGAACUUUCAUGCCAUUUAUUUGGUGUGAUUGGAAAUCAGGACUGUUACUUUGAAAAAAUUAGAGUGUUUAAAGCAGGCUAACGUCUGAAUACAUUAGCAUGGAAUAAUGAAAUAGGACGGGACUGAUUCUAUUUCGUUGGUUUCUAGGAUCACCGUAACGAUUAAUAGGGAUAGUUGGGGGCAUUAGUAUUCAAUUGUCAGAGGUGAAAUUCUUGGAUUUAUUGAAGACUAACUACUGCGAAAGCAUUUGCCAAGGAUGUUUUCAUUAAUCAAGAACGAAAGUUAGGGGAUCGAAGACGAUCAGAUACCGUCGUAGUCUUAACCAUAAACUAUGCCGACUAGGGGUCGGACGAAGUUAAUUUUAUAAUGACGCGUUCGGCACCUUACG
rnacentral:rRNA from 1 species